rnacentral:rRNA from 1 species
CUCCUACGGGAGGCAGCAGUAGGGAAUCUUCCGCAAUGGACGAAAGCCUGACGGAGCAACGCCGCGUGAACGAUGAAGGCCUUCGGGUCGUAAAGUUCUGUUGUUAGGGAAGAACAAGUACCAGAGUAACUGCUGGUACCUUGACGGUACCUAACCAGAAAGCCACGGCUAACUACGUGCCAGCAGCCGCGGUAAUACGUAG